AUAUAAUAUUAUAAUAUAUAUAUAUAUAUAUAAUAUAAAAUAUAAUAUUAAUAUAACAAUAUUUUAAUUUUAUUU
rnacentral:tRNA from 1 species